rnacentral:rRNA from 1 species
UACGUAGGGUGCAAGCGUUUGUCCGGAAUUAUUGGGCGUAAAGAGCUCGUAGGCGGUUUGUUGCGUCGGCUGUGAAAUCCCGAGGCUCAACCUCGGGUCUGCAGUGGGUACGGGCAGACUAGAGUGCGGUAGGGGUGACUGGAAUUCCUGGUGUAGCGGUGGAAUGCGCAGAUAUCAGGAGGAACACCGAUGGCGAAGGCAGGUCACUGGGCCGCAACUGACGCUGAGGAGCGAAAGCAUGGGGGAGCGAACAGG